CCCUGCAAAACAGAAGACAAGGGUGAGAGCCGCGGCGCCUCACUCCAGGGGUUGAGCCGGAGCCCGGGGCCUCCAUGGGCCUCAGCUGCCCCCAGGCAACGUGGGAGAAACCAGAGCUUCCCCAGGGUCCCUGGAGCAUGGAGUGCUGUUAGCCUGCCGCCAGGGGCCAGCACACGUGGGCCCCAGGAGACAGGGGCCCUGUCUCCUGCACCUGCCCCCCCCACCCCAUGCCACCCUGGCACUGUGCUUGUGCCUUGGGGGAAAAUGUUUUGGACGCUUGUGGAGCCCCCAGGCUGAGGUCACGUGAUCCCCUGCAUUCUGACAGUGAGGCCAGGUCUGUUUUGGGGCUCGCUGGGUCCUAGGGGACACAGCGAAUGCCAGGGCCAGUCACCCUGGACUUUGGCCACUGUUGAGGAGUCUGGACUCAUUUGGAGGAACAGGCAUAUCCUGGAGUGAAUCCAAAUUCUCAGAAUGGAUCUGGAGGGGGCGGCUCUUAACUGGAUCAUGCCUAUUCCUGCUGGGGUGGGACAGUCUACACUUUUCAGAAAAGGAGUCCCACCCAGAGGAUGGGGUGCCUGAGAGGCUACUGCUGCCUGAAUGUAAGUCACUUAUGAAGGGGACUUUUUUUGCAUGUGUGGCCUAGAAUAGAGGCUUUGAACUUGAGUGGAACAGCCACACCAGCUGCCACCACGUCAGCAGAGGCUGCCACCUACUCAGGUAGGAGCCCUGUGCAAUACUGCACGUGUCUGGUGAAGUGCACGAAGAUACCAUGUAGGCUGGAUUCAAAGCCACCUCUGUGAGGAUGACUCCUUCUCUGGGCAUCUCGCAUGCAUAAAUGAGAAGAUGUGUGUUAAUAAACUUCUUUUUCUCUUGUUAA